UACGUAGGCAGCGAGCGUUGUUCGGAAUUACUGGGCGUAAAGAGCGCGCAGGCGGUCGUCCAAGUCGCGUGUGAAAGCCCCCGGCUCAACUGGGGAGGGUCACGCGAUACUGGUCGACUCGAAGGCAGGAGAGGGUAGUGGAAUUCCCGGUGUAGUGGUGAAAUGCGUAGAUAUCGGGAGGAACACCAGUGGCGAAGGCGACUACCUGGCCUGUUCUUGACGCUGAGGCGCGAAAGCUAGGGGAGCAAACGGGG
rnacentral:rRNA from 1 species